GUGGUGAAAGUGGCGAACGGGAGAGUAACACGUAGAUAACCUGCCCUGAAGAGGGGGAUAACGACUGGAAACGGUCGCUAAUACCGCAUAAUGUCUUUUAGCAGGGAUACUAGAAGAAGAAAACUCUGGUGCUUCAGGAGGGGUCUGCGUCCGAUUAGCUAGUUGGUGAGGUAAAGGCUCACCAAGGCGACGAUCGGUAGCUGGUCUGAGAGGACGAUCAGCCACACGGGAACUGAGACACGGUCCCGACUCCUACGGGGGGCAGCAGUGAGGAAUAUUGCCCAAUGGGGGAAACCCUGAGGCAGCAACGCCGCGUGGAGGAAGAAGGUCUUUACGAUCGUAAACUUCUUUUGUGAGGGAAGGGGAAGGACGGUACCUCAUGAAUAAGUCACGGCUAACUACGUGCCAGCAGCCGCGGUAAUACGUAGGUGACGAGCGUUAUCCGGAAUUACCGGGCGUAAAGCGUACGCAGGCGGCAUGGUAAGUCUGACGUGAAAUCUCCUGGCUUAACUGGGAGAGGUCGUUGGAGACUGCUGUGCUUGAGACAAUGAGAGGGGUGCAGAAUUCCCGGUGUAGUGGUGGAAUGCGUAGAUAUCGGGAGGAAUACCAGAGGCGAAAGCGGCACCCUGGCAUUGGUCUGACGCUCAUGUACGAAAGCGUGGGUAGCAAACGGGAUUAGAUACCCCGGUAGUCCACGCCGUAAACGAUGAGUACUAGGUGUGGGUGGAGUCAAAUCCAUCUGUGCCGU
rnacentral:rRNA from 1 species